ACCUACCACGACCGGUCAUUUGACCGGUAGUACGAUUUAUACAUUUAUGUAAGAGUUUCUCUCUAAGACUCAAUGCCAAAACUAUAAAGUCGUUACAAACGAAAGGUAAUGUAGUUAUGACACAUUUUAUCCGAUAAGUGCCUUCCAGAAAAUGGUUUACGGCACUUCCAAGUGUUUACAGUUCUCACUCGACUAUCGGGCUAGCGGUGUUUAUUUGCUUGAUUGAUAUCCGAUACGGUCAAGAUCCUCGAAUGUUCUACGCCAUCUCAUCUACUAUGACGUAAAAUAAAUAAACUUGUAACUGAAGGAAGUGUAUAGACGUCUUCUCACGAAUUCAAAUCAGUGUAGUCUUGCGACACGAACAGAGUGCAUCGAACGUGAAAGUCACAAAGAGCAUACUUGGCAGUCUUUUAUUAUUAUUUUGUAAUAUUUUAUAUCGUAUUACGUGUUAUAAGUGCCAUUUUCAAAAUAGUGAACAAGACUAACAAUACUUCGCAAAUAUUUGUCCCCAAAAUGGCAAGACGUUUGAGGAGUGCGAAUGUAUUAUUAGAGAGAAUAAAUGAUAUCGAUGCAGAAUGUUCUGAAGAUGAUCAGGAAAUUCUGGAUAUGGAAAAUAACAAUACGGAAAAUUAUGAUUCACUUGAAACAGAUUCGAACACCGAUGAGAACGAAGAGAAUAUUUCGAACGUACGUAGACGACGAAAGAGAAGGAGAUUCUUAGUUAGUUCCGAUAGUGA
rnacentral:lncRNA from 1 species